rnacentral:rRNA from 1 species
AUUGAACGCUGGCGGCAUGCUUUACACAUGCAAGUCGAACGGUAACAGGCCGCAAGGUGCUGACGAGUGGCGAACGGGUGCGUAAUGCAUCGGAACGUGCCCAGUCGUGGGGGAUAACUACUCGAAAGAGUAGCUAAUACCGCAUACGAUCUAUGGAUGAAAGCGGGGGACCGUAAGGCCUCGCGCGAUUGGAGCGGCCGAUGUCAGAUUAGGUAGUUGGUGGGGUAAAGGCUCACCAAGCCAACGAUCUGUAGCUGGUCUGAGAGGACGACCAGCCACACUGGGACUGAGACACGGCCCAGACUCCUACGGGAGGCAGCAGUGGGGAAUUUUGGACAAUGGGAGCAAGCCUGAUCCAGAAAUGCCGAGUGCAGGAAGAAGGCCUUCGGGUUGUAAACUGAUUUUGUACGGAACGAAACGGCUCUGGUUAAUACCCGGGGCUAAUGACGGUACCGUAAGAAUAAGCACCGGCUAACUACGUG